GCGCCCGUAGCUCAAUGGAUAGAGUACUGCUCUCCGAAGGCAGGGGUUGCUGGUUCGAUCCCAGCCGGGCGCGCCA
rnacentral:tRNA from 8 species